rnacentral:hammerhead_ribozyme from 1 species
GCACUGCUGAAGUGUCCCAAACAGGACGAAACAGCUGUCCAGUGC